rnacentral:rRNA from 1 species
GAUGAACGCUGGCGGCGUGCCUAAUACAUGCAAGUCGAGCGAACGGACGAGAAGCUUGCUUCUCUGAUGUUAGCGGCGGACGGGUGAGUAACACGUGGAUAACCUACCUAUAAGACUGGGAUAACUUCGGGAAACCGGAGCUAAUACCGGAUAUAUUUUUGAACCGCUGGGUUAAAAGUGAAAAAAGGGUCUGCCUGUACCUUAUGAUUGGAUCCGCGCUGCAUUAGCUAGUUGGUAAGGUAACGGCUUACCAAGGCAACGAUGCAUAGCCGACCUGAGAGGGUGAUCGGCCACACUGGAACUGAGACACGGUCCAGACUCCUACGGGAGGCAGCAGUAGGGAAUCUUCCGCAAUGGGCGAAAGCCUGACGGAGCAACGCCGCGUGAGUGAUGAAGGUCUUCGGAUCGUAAAACUCUGUUAUUAGGGAAGAACAUAUGUGUAAGUAACUGUGCACAUCUUGACGGUACCUAAUCAGAAAGCCACGGCUAACUACGUG